rnacentral:rRNA from 1 species
UAUCAGGCACGCCCAACACAUCUAGCCAUGCCACACCCAGGGUAUACAGCAGUGAUUAACAUUAAAUAAACGCCAGUUUGAUUUAGCCAAUGAAUACUAGAGCCGGCUAAUCUGGUGCCAGCCGCCGCGGUUACACCAGUGGCUCAAAUUGAUUCGGCGUAAAGCGUGAUAAAGGUCAAACUUAAACUAAGCUGUAAAAGCUUGUUCUUAAGAAGCUCUACCCGAAAGACACCCCAACCCCCUCACAAAUUCACGACAGCUAGAACACAAACUGGGAUUAGAUACCCCACUAUGCCUAGCCGUAAACCUUAAUUUACCGCCAGGGAACUACGAGCAAAGCUUAAAACCCAAAGGACUUGACGGUACCCCACAUCCCCCUAGAGGAGCCUGUUCUAUAAUCGAUACCCCACGCUUAACCCAACCAUUUUUAGUUCAGCCUGUAUACUUCCGUCGCCAGCUCACCGCAUGAGCGAAAGUGGGCUUAACAGUCACCGCCAAUACGUCAGGUCAAAGUGCAGCAAAUAAAAUGGCAAGAAAUGGGCUACACUCUCUAUAGAAGAAACGAAAGAUUACAUGAAAUAAUCAGAAGGUGGAUUUAGAAGUAAGAAUUAAAAUAUCUUUCUUAACGGCACUGGAGUGUGUACACACCGCCCGUCACCCUCU